rnacentral:rRNA from 1 species
ACUUACUCUUUCAGUCGACGAUUCCUACGGGAGGCAGCAGUGGGGAAUCUUAGACAAUGGGGGAAACCCUGAUCUAGCCAUGCCGCGUGAGUGAUGAAGGCCUUAGGGUCGUAAAGCUCUUUCGCCAGGGAUGAUAAUGACAGUACCUGGUAAAGAAACCCCGGCUAACUCCGUGCCAGCAGCCGCGGUAAUACGGAGGGGGUUAGCGUUGUUCGGAAUUACUGGGCGUAAAGCGCGCGUAGGCGGAUUAGUCAGUCAGAGGUGAAAUCCCAGGGCUCAACCCUGGAACUGCCUUUGAUACUGCUAGUCUAGAGUUCGAGAGAGGUGAGUGGAAUUCCGAGUGUAGAGGUGAAAUUCGUAGAUAUUCGGAGGAACACCAGUGGCGAAGGCGGCUCACUGGCUCGAUACUGACGCUGAGGUGCGAAAGUGUGGGGAGCAAACAGGAUUAGAUACCCUGGUAGUCCACACCGUAAACGAUGAAUGCCAGUCGUCGGCAAGUAUACUUGUCGGUGACACACCUAACGGAUUAAGCAUUCCGCCUGGGGAGUACGGUCGCAAGAUUAAAACUCAAAUGAAUUGACGG